rnacentral:rRNA from 1 species
AGCGAACGCUGGCGGCAGGCCUAACACAUGCAAGUCGAACGGUCCUUCGGGACAGUGGCGGACGGGUGAGUAACACGUGGGAACGUGCCUUUAGGUUCGGGACAACCCAGGGAAACUUGGGCUAAUACCGGAUGUGCCCUUCGGGGAAAGAUUUAUCGCCUUUAGAGCGGCCCGCGUCUGAUUAGCUUGUUGGUGAGGUAAUGGCUCACCAAGGCUACGAUCAGUAGCUGGUCUGAGAGGAGAUCAGCCACACUGGGACUGAGACACGGCCCAGACUCCUACGGGAGGCAGCAGUGGGGAAUCUUGCGCAAUGGGCGAAAGCCUGACGCAGCCAUGCCGCGUGGAUG